AAGAAUGAUGACACAUUGUUGAUAAAAAUCGAUAAAGUUAAAAAAAACUCAUAAGCAUGUAUAUUUACACUGAGAAAUUAGCUUUUAUUACAUUUGAAUUGAACCAAUUUAAAUGCUGCUAACAGAAUAAUAAAUAUGAAAUAAUUUUUACAUUAAUAUUAAGUAUAUUAACAGUACCAGAAGAUAUUUCCGUGUAAGAAAUCAUUACAAAACGAAUGAAAAAAAAAUCACCAAAUGGCUUUCGUUUUCCAGUAAUAAUUAAGUUUUUAUUAGUUUCUAAACUUGACCAUUUUAAAUACGAUCAUUAAUUACCAAGAACACAACAUGGUUCUCAUUACCUUAUGCGUUUAUCAUUAUGCCGCAUCUUGACAUCAUGACAACUAAUUAUAUCUCCAGCAAAGUUGGCAUUUUCCAUCGAUCAAAUUUUAACGGCAUUAAGUGUUUUAAAGUGUUCUAUUUUUAACGUACUAUAAAACAGGAGAUAAGUGACCCUAUCCCUUAUACCGGCGGUUCUAAUAACCAGUAUGUACCAGACAUGGUAAUGCAAUAGGUAGCAGUGACAAAUUGAUGAUAAUGAAUUACAAGACACACAUUUAAAUGGUUUAAUCAAUAUCUCUAUCUAAUAGGAUCUGUAUUGGUCAUAAAGAGAAUGAAGUGUGUAAAACACUUUUGACGCCAAACAUGAAAUAUCUUCUAAAAGAAACCGAAUCCAAUGAAACCUCAUCAAAAAUCUCUCUACAAGCGAGUUCCCAAAUUCGAAAAGAGCAUAAACUGUAUUUAUCCCCCAUACCUGACAAAGAAAUGAAAGUAAAACACACCAAAUGAAAGCUGAAGUAAUUUUUGACGUUCUUAUGGAAUAAACUGAUGAAAUUAUCUGCUUUGACCAUCUAAAACUCACUACUACUAAAAAUACCAUCGAUACAUUCUAUCUAAAAUAAUUAUUGGUGUAUAACUUUUGCAUUUAUUCUGCAAAAACGGAACUUUUACUUUUCACUUGUAUAAUGACAUAACUUGAUAAAACAUCAUAUGAACCCAUUAACUUUCUGAAUUAAAGAGUAUAUCCAAAUA